rnacentral:rRNA from 1 species
UACGGGGGGGGUAAGCGUUGUUCGGAAUUACUGGGCGUAAAGAGCUCGUAGGUGGUUUGUCGCGUUGUCCGUGAAAACUCACAACUCAAUUGUGGGCGUGCGGGCGAUACGGGCAGACUGGAGUACUGCAGGGGAGACUGGAAUUCCUGGUGUAGCGGUGGAAUGCGCAGAUACCAGGAGGAACACCGGUGGCGAAGGCGGGUCUCUGGGCAGUAACUGACGCUGAGGAGCGAAAGCCAGGGGAGCAAACAGG